rnacentral:lncRNA from 1 species
ACAUCUUGUUACCCAUGCAAUGUUGGGGUCAGAGAGUGUAGAGAGUGGUGUGGGGAGAGUGCAGGCUGAAGAGUUACCUAAGGUCAAAAUCCUGACCUAUGAGCCAAGCCAUCGAUUUGGGAUUUCUACUGAGGACACUGGAAGUCACUAAGAGCAUCUGAAUGUUUUUAUUUUACACGGCUCACUGUGGCUUUGACCUCCCAUGCUGAAGCGAUCCUCCUAUCUCAACCUCUCAAGUAGCUGGAAGCACAGGCAUGCACCACCACACCUGGCUAAUUUUUUUCUUCCUUUUUUAAAGAGACAGUCUUGCCAUGUUGCCCAGGCCCUGUUGACCAGGAAAAAAAAAAGUUUUUUUUCUUUUUUAAAGAAAGAAAAUAAAAGAGACUGAGAAACCACAGAAAUAAAGAAGCGCUGAUGACAAUGCCUGCUUGCUGAUGGUUACGAUGAUCAUAGCAGUGUGCAUUUUGUAUGCAUGAAGCCUGCGACUAAAUAAACGUGUGGGGAAAUAUUUGUAAGGAAAUAAGCUAUUAAUAAAAUAAGCUAAAAUCA